rnacentral:other from 1 species
UGUAACCUGAAAUGCACGAUAAGUCUUGUUAUUUUGAACCUACAGAUACUUUAAACGGGAUUCCUACAUUGUCAUAUAGAUGUCAGGCCUCCAGCCUUUGGGCAUUACGCAGUGGAAGACAGAAGUAUGGUUGCGGUUACCCACCUAGCGUUGCUAGGAGUCAAAAUACAAGAUCCGGCAUUUUGGGGGAAUA